UGGCUGUUUUCUUAUCCCAAUUUGAAUGUCCAAAACAAAACCCAGACCUAGUUGACACUUAAACAAUAGAAUGUUACAUUAGUUUGUGAUCCAAAGUGAAAUGUGCACAGGCAGCCUGGCUGGCCCCAGUUUCACAGUUGACUGCCGACUUCACUUCAGAUUAUGUAAACAUGUAUUGCAAAACAGCGCUGAAGGGAGCCUCCUAACCUAAACAGCAUUCUCUGAAAUGUAACUUGUUGUCUUUUUAUAUAAAAGGAGAAAUUAAAUCAAAAUUAUUUUGAAGAGAAACAACUCCAGGAUUUUGUUCAAUUGAGUUUUACCAGGAAAUGCUAUUGCUAGUAGCACUGACCUUGGGGCAGAGAGAAGCUGAAGUCACGUAUUUUGCAGGGUCAGACUUCUCUAGUGACUUCACGUGUUGUCACAUCAAGUCAAUCAAGUGACUAGAGCAUCUGUCACCUUAGGCCACAAGGAGCACUCCUUUAGUAUUCCAUCCUGGAGAAAGAUAUGUGCUGGGUUAUGUUCACCAAGAUCUAAAAUGAUCACCCCUUUUGGACAAUAAACUGUUGUGAUCUCGCCCUGCAAGAACCUUACAAAAUGAAGGUGGAAUUUCAGGAUGUCUAGAAAAAGUCAUGGAAAAGAAGUUUUGGAGAAAUGAAUCUACAUUCAACCCAUGAAGUUAAAGAGCAACCUACAGACAACCUUUGGGACAGCAGCCUUGCCCACAAGUGAGAGAUGAAGACUAUUGGCUGCCCAUGGAAAAAGAAGAUGUGGCUCUUUGAGGGAGAAGACCCUUCCUCUUUCCUUCAGUGGCUGAGACCAUUGAGCUGAAGUCGACUUCUCUGCAGUCUUAAGUUAUUCCAGACGGUGGAUUGAUUUUCUCGCCUUACCUUCCUCAGAUGUGGAGGCCCGGCAGCGGCCGUGGCUGGCACGGUGCACAUGACAACCAAAGUCUGCUGCAGAAGUUUUCUUGGCAUAUUAAAAUUUGCCCACAAGAGAGUUUACCGGAAAAAGAAUCCUCAAGGUAAAGAGCUGGUGUCUACAUCUUUGCCUCAGAUGGUCAGAUUUCUGGGAAAAUCUCAGCUGGGAGCUCUUCUGAGAAGUAAGCUGACAUCACAGGGUUGCAGGACUUACCGCCUCAAAACUCUGAUGCUCUAGAGAUUUGCCAAAGCCACUAUUUGUUUAAAAUUGACUCUAAACAAUGAAACUUGGGAACACUGAAAAAAUUUAAAAAAAUAAAAUAAAUAAAAUAAAAU